rnacentral:rRNA from 1 species
UACGUAGGGUGCAGGCGUUAAUCGGAAUUACUGGGCGUAAAGCGUGCGCAGGCGGUCUUUUAAGUCAGAUGUGAGAUCCCCGGGCUUAACCUGGGAACUGCGUUUGAAACUGAAAGGCUAGAGUGUGGCAGAGGGGGGUGGAAUUCCACGUGUAGCAGUGAAAUGCGUAGAGAUGUGGAGGAACACCGAUGGCGAAGGCAGCCCCCUGGGCUAACACUGACGCUCAUGCACGAAAGCGUGGGGAGCAAACAGG